AUUGAACGCUGGCGGCAUGCCUUACACAUGCAAGUCGAACGGUAACAGGUCUUCGGAUGCUGACGAGUGGCGAACGGGUGAGUAAUACAUCGGAACGUGCCUAGUAGUGGGGGAUAACUACUCGAAAGAGUGGCUAAUACCGCAUGAGAUCUACGGAUGAAAGCAGGGGAUCGCAAGACCUUGUGCUACUAGAGCGGCCGAUGGCAGAUUAGGUAGUUGGUGGGAUAAAGGCUUACCAAGCCGACGAUCUGUAGCUGGUCUGAGAGGACGAUCAGCCACACUGGGACUGAGAAACGCCCCAGACUCCUACGGGAGGCAGCAGUGGGGAAUUUUGGACAAUGGGCGAAAGCCUGAUCCAGCAAUGCCGCGUGCAGGAUGAAGGCCUUCGGGUUGUAAACUGCUUUUGUACGGAACGAAAAGCCCCGGGUUAAUACCCUGGGGUCAUGACGGUACCGUAAGAAUAAGCACCGGCUAACUACGUGCCAGCCGCCGCAGUAA
rnacentral:rRNA from 1 species